rnacentral:rRNA from 1 species
CGAAUAGGUGGAGAGUGGCGCACGGGUGAGUAACACAUGGCUGACCUGCCCUUCAGAGGGGGACAACCGUUGGAAACGGCGGCUAAUACCCCAUACGCUCGUGGGAGUUAGAGACCCGUGAGGAAAGUUGAGACGCUGAAGGAGGGGGCUGUGGCCCAUCAGCUAGUUGGUAGGGUAAAAGCCUACCAAGGCGAGGACGGGUAGGGGGCCUGAGAGGGUGACCCCCCACACUGGAACCGAGACACGGUCCAG